UACAGAGGUCCCAAGCGUUACUGAGAAUCACUGGGUUUAAAGGGUGCGUAGGUGGUCCGUUAAGUCAGGGGUGAAAGACGGUAGCUUAACUAUCGCAGUGCCUUUGAUACUGAUGGGCUUGAAUGUACUUGAGGUAGGCGGAAUGUGACAAGUAGCGGUGAAAUGCAUAGAUAUGUCACAGAACACCAAUUGCGAAGGCAGCUUACUAAAGUAUGAUUGACGCUGAGGCACGAAAGCGUGGGGAUCAAACAGG
rnacentral:rRNA from 1 species